rnacentral:rRNA from 1 species
AGUGAACGCUGGCGGUAGGCCUAACACAUGCAAGUCGAACGGCAGCACAGUAAGAGCUUGCUCUUACGGGUGGCGAGUGGCGGACGGGUGAGGAAUACAUCGGAAUCUACUUUUUCGUGGGGGAUAACGUAGGGAAACUUACGCUAAUACCGCAUACGACCUACGGGUGAAAGCAGGGGAUCCUCGGACCUUGCGCGAUUGAAUGAGCCGAUGUCGGAUUAGCUAGUUGGCGGGGUAAAGGCCCACCAAGGCGACGAUCCGUAGCUGGUCUGAGAGGAUGAUCAGCCACACUGGAACUGAGACACGGUCCAGACUCCUACGGGAGGCAGCAGUGGGGAAUAUUGGACAAUGGGCGCAAGCCUGAUCCAGCCAUACCGCGUGGGUGAAGAGGGCCUUCGGGUUGUAAAGCCCUUUUGUUGGGAAAGAAAAGCAGCAGGUUAAUACCCCGCUGUUCUGACGGUACCCAAAGAAUAAGCACCGGCUAACUUCGUG